rnacentral:lncRNA from 1 species
UUCUUCUUCUUCAUUUUUCUUCAUUUUUUUUUUUACCUGUUGAUCAAAUGACGCAUUGGAUGAAUCAGCUCGACGAUUCGUCCACCUUUCCACGGCUCGGCGAUCUCUCCUCCUUUUCACGGCUCGGCGAUUUCUCCUCCUUUCUGCGACUCGGCGAUCCUCCUCCUUUCCGCGACUCGGCGAUAUCUCCUUUUUUGAAUUUUUUGUAUGUCGGAACGAGUGUAGUAAUCUAUCUUCUUUUUUUUUGUUCUUUGUCUAUCGUAUCGUCUUCGUAAAAAAAUUCUCCCAUGUUUGAUUUCGGUUCUCGUAUUUAUAAUAGAAGGGGUGGUGAGAGAUAUUUUGAGGGAUUCGAAAUUCGAAUUUGAAUUUCGAAUAGGUUGUUGGAUGGUUGGAGGAUUUUUGGGAAUUGGUUGGAGAUUCAAAAUUCGAAAUCGAAUUUUGAAUCGGUUGUUGGAUGGUUGGAAUUGGUUGGGAAUUCGAAAUUCGAAAUCGAAUUUUAAAUCAGUUGUUGGAUGGUUGGAGGAUUUUUGGGAAUUGGUUAGGGAUUCGAAAUUCGAAAUCGAAUUUUGAAUUGGUUGUUGGAGGAUAUUUUGGAAAUUGGUUGGAAAUUCGAAAUUCGAAAUUGAAUUUUGAAUGGGUUGUUGGAUUGUUAGGUAUUCAAAAUUCGAAUGAGAGAUAUUUUGGGUGUUGGUUCGAAAUUCGAAAUCGAAUUUCGAAUCGAAUUUGAAUAUGGUAUUCAAGAUUGAAUUUUUAAAU